AUGGGGACGGAGGUGAAGGGGAUUUUCCUUAGGGUUUGGAAUUUUCCUCAGGGUUGGGGCAGGAGGGGAAGGAGCUUUUCCUCGGGCUUGGGGCUGGAGGCCAAGGGACUGUUCCUCGGGGUUGGUGCCAGAGAGGAAGGGUUUUUUCCUCAGGGUUGGUUCCAGAGGGGAAGGGGUUUUUCCUCAGGGUUGGGACCAGAAGGGAAGGGGCUUUUCCUUAGGGUUGGGUCCGGAGCGGAAAGGGCUUUUCCUCAGGGUUGGGGCAGGAGGGGAAGGGGCUUUUCCUCAGGGUUGCGGCCAGAGGGGAAGGGGCUUUUCCUCAGGGUUGCGGCCAGAGGGGAAGGGGCUUUUCCUCAGGGUUGGGGCCGGAGGGAAGGGGCUUUUCCUCAGGGUUAGGGCUGGAGGGGAAGGGGCUUCUCCUCAGGGUUGGGGCCGGAGGGGAAUGGGUU
rnacentral:lncRNA from 1 species